CUUUACAGGAAGUGUUUAAGAAGGCCGUGUAAGUCAAAUGCAGGGAGGUGUUGCUGGACAAAAAGCGGUUCAACUCCUAGAUGGCAGAUAAUUGGGUAGUGAGGCUGCAGGGGCAUGAUUUAUACACAAAAACUGCUUCAUUAAGCUAAAGUUGUUAUGAUGACUAUAGUGUCCCUUUGAGUGAAAUGGAUAAAGCCAAGUUC